rnacentral:rRNA from 1 species
GGUUAAGCGACUAAGCGUACACGGUGGAUGCCCUGGCAGUCAGAGGCGAUGAAGGGCGUGCUAAUCUGCGAUAAGCGCCGGUAAGGUGAUAUGAACCGUUAUAACCGGCGAUACCCGAAUGGGGAAACCCAGUGUGACUCGUCACACUAUCAUUAACUGAAUCCAUAGGUUAAUGAGGCGAACCGGGGGAACUGAAACAUCUAAGUACCCCGAGGAAAAGAAAUCAACCGAGAUUCCCCCAGUAGCGGCGAGCGAACGGGGAGGAGCCCAGAGCCUGAAUCAGCAUGUGUGUUAGUGGAAGCGUCUGGAAAGGCGCGCGAUACAGGGUGACAGCCCCGUACACAAAAGCGCAUGUGCUGUGAGCUCGAUGAGUAGGGCGGGACACGUGGUAUCCUGUCUGAAUAUGGGGGGACCAUCCUCCAAGGCUAAAUACUCCUGACUGACCGAUAGUGAACCAGUACCGUGAGGGAAAGGCGAAAAGAACCCCGGCGAGGGGAGUGAAAAAGAACCUGAAACCGUGUACGUACAAGCAGUGGGAGCACCCUUUGGGUGUGACUGCGUACCUUUUGUAUAAUGGGUCAGCGACUUAUAUUCUGUAGCAAGGUUAACCGAAUAGGGGAGCCGGAGGGAAACCGAGUCUUAAUUGGGCGUUAAGUUGCAGGGUAUAGACCCGAAACCCGGUGAUCUAGCCAUGGGCAGGUUGAAGGUUGGGUAACACUAACUGGAGGACCGAACCGACUAAUGUUGAAAAAUUAGCGGAUGACCUGUGGCUGGGGGUGAAAGGCCAAUCAAACCGGGAGAUAGCUGGUUCUCCCCGAAAGCUAUUUAGGUAGCGCCUCGUGAAUUCAUCUCCGGGGGUAGAGCA